ACCAUCAAUCUGUCGUCAUACUUACAGCAACUACCGAUCACCAGAAGAGAAGCCCAGUCACAGAUGUUUCUCCUAAAAUCACUUUAGACCGAAAGGAGUCAUGAGAUGCAGAGAUAAUGAGAUAAAAGGAGUCAAAUUGGAGAAUUUGGUUUGAAAAGCAAAUUACUUUUUACCACCAAAAGAGAAGCCCAGCUAUAACCCCGCCCACUUCUAUUUCCAGACCACGCCCUCCUGCACACAUCACUGAAGCUGGUACUGACCUAAUAUAGAACGCUUAGGGGCAGCUACUGCAAAAACACGGCCUCCUCUGAGCUUAAGUCUGGACGUCGGUACGACCAAUAACUUCAGGUCAAAGGACCUCAGUGACCAUGAAGAUCAGUAAGAUAGGAGGGGGCGGAACCAUUCAGAGAGAGUAAAAACUGAAACUCAAUCCUGAAGUGAACAGGAAGCCAGUAUAGAGAAGUUAAGACUGGUGUGAUGGGAUUCUGUUAGAAGCUGGCAGCAGCGUUCUGGACGAACUGAAGACCUUCUCUUUUCCAAGUGACUCUGUGUGGAGACAAAAUGGGGGAAAGACAUCUGAACACCGGGCAGAGAUGGAAAAUAGAAGAAUUACAUAGAAAAGGACUGAAGCAGAAUAAGGAAAGUGGUGCCCAGCCCAGUCAACUCCAACUGCCUGUGAUGCUGGAGAGAAGAAAAGUUCACAAGAUCAUCCUGAAAUGGAAUUGUGGUUGGACUGAGAUGGCCACAUUUAUGUGUAUGACGGGAUGGCCAGAGGGGGCUGAACAAGGGGACUGACCCCCAGAGGUUUAUUAUCUCCAGCCUCCUUGACGGCUUCAAGUUUGUCUUUCUCCCUGGCCAUUUGACUAUGCAAUGUAUUUAUUAAAAGGGACAAGGACUUCUGAAUUUGCUUCUUAUUUACUUUUAUAAAGUGUUCAAUUUUCUUUUGUACCUAUAUUUUUUUGUAGAGCAAUUUAAGCUACACUUGUAAGAAAAAUUGAUAUAGAAAUAUUAUUCCGAACAAAUGUUAAGGGACAGGUUAGGAAAAAUAUCAAUGUAAAUAUAACAAGAUGUUUGUGGAGUAUUGCUGGAUCAUAUCUGUUUGACUCUGAACGGUAUCUUUAUGGAAGUCCAUUUUUAUUGUUCAUACAGCUGAAGUAGCAUCGCCUCAUUUUAGACAAAUUUAAUAAUUCACUUUUAUUGUGUUCAAAACCUUGGCUAACAUUUUUGAAAAUGCCAAGGAAAAAGUCCAUAAAUAUCUAUUUUCUUCCCCUUUCCCUAACAGUUUUUAACACGGCCCCAUUGUUGGCCAUUUUCAUUGUAUUAGUGUGCUAGUUUAAUGCAUUUACCACUUAGACAUCUUUCUGCUUACUGAUUUUUCUACUCAUUUGACUCUAACUCUCUC